rnacentral:rRNA from 1 species
GCUCUCGAAAAAAUAGAAAGUGAUACCUGCCCAGUGAUCUAUAAAUCAAGAUAAUAAAAUUAUCCAAAUUAGAUUAAAAGGACGCGGUACCCUGACCGUGAUAACGUAGCAUAAUCAUUCGCCACUUAAUUGGUGGAUAGUAUGAAUGGUCAAACGAAUACACAACUGUCUUAAAUGGAAAACCUAUGAAAUUAAAAUAGUAGUCAAGAUGCUACUUAAAACUGUAAGACGAGAAGACCCUAUAGAGCUUAACUACAACUCUUUGUAAAACCAGAAAUUAAUUUCUCACAAAAAGAGAUAGGUAGUUUAGUUGGGGCGACUGCCUUCUAAAAUAAACGAAGGUAAACAAAAUUAAUAAACUAAUUUACUGUUUAAUAAAAAAAUUUAACAGUUAUCAAAGUAGGUAAUAAUGACCCGUUAUUUGUUAACAAUAACACUAACGAUCAAUUAAUAAAAGCUACCUUAGGGAUAACAGGAUAAUCUUGUUUCAGAGAUCUUAUCGAAGACAAGGUUUGUCACCUCUAUGUUGAAUUAAGACAUCCUAAAAGUGCAGAAGCUUUUAAGGGUAGGUCUGUUCGACCUAUAAAGUCUU